UUAAGUUCAGCGGGUAUUCCUACCUGAUCCGAGGUCAACCAGAAAAAAUUGGGGGUUUUACGGCCGGGGGGGCAGCACCUAACAAAAGCGAGAUAAAGAAUUACUACGCUCAGAGGACUACUGCCGCUCCGCCAAUGUCUUUGAGGCACUACAGAAGUAGACGCCCAACAGUAAGCUGUGCUUAGGGGUUGAAAUGACGC
rnacentral:misc_RNA from 1 species